UUCUGCUCUGGGAACUAUGUCUGGAUGUUUUGUUUUUGAACCAUGGCAGAACUCAACAUAUGGACUCUAACUUGUGUUUUUCUUUCCUUCCUGUCUGCAGGGUUAAAGGCUUACAGAAGAGAAGGUCUCGGCUGGUAUGAAGUACCUCCAUCUCGACAGCUGACAGGAAGAGACUCAACAGACUGACAGAGAAGGCCAGCUGUGUCCUGGGGCGCUCUCUUGACCCGCUGGGGUCGUGGUGGGAGAAAGGAGAAUGCUAGCCAAGCUAUCAUCCCUUAUGGUCAACAUGUCCCACCUCAUGCAGGACACUUUGUCAGCACUGGGCAGCUCGUUCAGUGACUGACUGCUUCACCCGCUGUGCUGUCAGACUAUACAUCCAACACUGCUCCCAGUGGACCACACAUACAAAAACUAUGGACAAUCAAACAUCAUUCAUGUGAGGUAUCUGUGUCUGUAUAUACCAACUGUGAAACAUCUACACUUGAUGUGUACAAUAAUGACCAGGCUCCGACUCCUAUAAGAAACUUAGGACUGAAUCAUCCUCAAUUUAAUGAUGAAUGUUUCCCACAAAAAUAUUUUAUUGAACUCCUUACUCAGUGUUCAUGUCUAAUUAUAACAAAAGCCCAAAUGCUAAAAAUACUGUAGGCCUACAAGUUUCUUCUCAUAUGGUGUUUCUUUGGUGUUGGCCUAACUGUAGGUAGGGGAAGCACAGCACAAUAUAAGGUGUCUGUUAGUGAUGAACCUACAGAGAAUUAUGACCUGAAUCUGCAGCUCUCUUUAUCUUUACAGAGCUUUACAGUGAGCUUCAGCUCAUU